rnacentral:rRNA from 1 species
UGGGGAAUUUUGCACAAUGGGGGAAACCCUGAUGCAGCGACGCCGCGUGAUUUAGAAGGCCUUCGGGUUGUAAAAAUCUUUUUUACGGGAUGAAAAUGACAGUACCGUAAGAAUAAGGUCCGGCUAAAUACGUGCCAGCAGCCGCGGUAAUACGUAUGGACCGAGCGUUGUCCGGAAUCAUUGGGCGUAAAGGGUACGUAGGCGGCCUAGUAAGUUAGAAGUGAAAUAAUAUAGCUCAACUAUAUAAAGCUUUUAAAACUGCUAGGCUUGAGAGAUGGAAGGGAAAGUGGAAUUCCUAGUGUAGCGGUGAAAUACGCAGAUAUUAGGAAGAAUACCGGUGGCGAAGGCGACUUUCUGGUCAUCAUCUGACGCUGAGGUACGAAAGCGUGGGUAGCAAACAGG